UGAGCAACCUGCCCCGGAGACCGGGAUAACAGCGGGAAACCGCUGCUAAUACCGGAUGCCCUCACCGGACCUUAUGGCCUGAUGAGGAAAUGAAUUUCGCUCUGGGAGGGGCUCGCGGCCUAUCAGCUUGUUGGCGGGGUAACGCCCACCAAGGCGACGACGGGUAGCUGGUCUGAGAGGACGAUCAGCCACACUGGGACUGAGACACGGCCCAGACUCCUACGGGAGCAGCAG
rnacentral:rRNA from 1 species